UACAUCUUGAAUACUGCAUGAAGAUGUGGUCACUCCAUCUCAAAAUAAUUUUUUUUGAGAUGGAGUGACCACAUCUUUAUGCAGUAUUCAAGAUGUGGGC
rnacentral:pre_miRNA from 1 species